CCUACGGGUGGCUGCAGUGAGGAAUAUUGGUCAAUGGGCUUACGCCUGAACCAGCCAAGUCGCGUGAGGGAAGACUGCCCUAUGGGUUGUAAACCUCUUUUGUCAGGGAGCAACGCCGGCUACGUGUAGCCGGACUGAGAGUACCUGAAGAAAAAGCAUCGGCUAACUCCGUGCCAGCAGCCGCGGUAAUACGGAGGAUGCGAGCGUUAUCCGGAUUUAUUGGGUUUAAAGGGUGCGUAGGCGGAAUGCCAAGUCAGCGGUAAAAUCGCGGGGCUCAACCUCGCUCCGCCGUUGAAACUGUUCUUCUUGAGUGAUGGAGAGGCAGGCGGAAUUCCUAGUGUAGCGGUGAAAUGCGUAGAUAUUAGGAGGAACACCAGUGGCGAAGGCGGCCUGCUGGACAUUAACUGACGCUGAGGCGCGAAAGCGUGGGGAGCAAACAGGAUUAGAUACCCCUGUAGUC
rnacentral:rRNA from 1 species